rnacentral:rRNA from 1 species
UACAGAGGUGGCAAGCGUUGUUCGGAAUUACUGGGCGUAAAGGGCGCGUAGGCGGCCUUCUAAGUCAGACGUGAAAUCCCCCGGCUUAACCUGGGAACUGCGUCUGAUACUGGGAGGCUUGAGUAUGGGAGAGGGAUGUAGAAUUCCAGGUGUAGCGGUGAAAUGCGUAGAUAUCAGGAGGAACACCGGUGGUGUAGACGGCUUUCUGGACCGUAACUGACGCUGAGACACGAAAGCGUGGGUAGCAAACAGG